GGGUUGAGCCCGAUGGUGUACGGGAUGUCGGGACUGUCGUUCGUCGUGAGCAGCGACUCGCUGGCGUCGAAGUAGAACUGGGUCCGCGGGUGGGGCCGCUCGUCCGGCGGGCAGUCGGGGUCGGGCUCAAGGACCAGCGGCGCGAAACGGUUCGGCGGAUUGCUGCGCGCGCCGCGGCCCGGCAGCGGGAAGGACGGCGGCGACGGGGAGGGCGGCGCGGGCAUGGAGUCACGUUAGCCGACGGCGCCGG
rnacentral:rRNA from 1 species